CCGUUGCCGGCGACCGGCGCACGGGUGAGUAGCACGUAUGCAACCUGCCCGUGGCAGGGGGAUAAGCGGGGGAAACCCCGUCUAAUACCGCGUAACGCGGCCUUGGGGCAUCCCAAGGCCGCCAAAGGGAGCAAUCCCGGCCACGGAUGGGCAUGCGGCGCAUUAGCUAGUCGGCGGGGUAACGGCCCACCGAGGCGACGAUGCGUAGGGGUUCUGAGAGGAAGGCCCCCCACACUGGUACUGAGACACGGACCAGACUCCUACGGGAGGCAGCAG
rnacentral:rRNA from 1 species